GUUAGAUACAUGGAGCUUGCACAGGGAGGAGCAGGUCGUUGUGGAGCAUGGAUCGUGGAUGCCAUGUUAAAACAUUUGAACAUUUGAACUUAUGUUACACAUUGGGUUUUCAUACUUAUGCUUCCGCUAUACUUUGAAACUAUGAUUAUGUUUUGAACACCUAUCGUAUUGAAUGAUUGGUUUACAUUUAUUAUAUUUGAUAUUAAUUUCAUGUUCGAUAUGAUUGGUGGCUUGAUCCUGGUCAGUCACGCUUCCAAGCGGUGAUACUCCGCAGGUGGAUUUUGGGGGUGUGACAGAUUGGUAUCAGAGCCAUUGGUUAUAGAGAACUUGGUUUUAAUAUGGGGAAAACGUUUUUAUUAAAACCAGACUAUAACCAGAACAGUGCUCUCAACGAUCCACAACGACGCUUCGCUCCAUGUGCAAGACUCAACAUCCUAGGUCGUUAGAUACAUGGAGCUUGCACAGGGAGGAGCAGGUCGUUGUGGAGCAUGGAUCGUGGAUGCCAUGUUAAAACAUUUGAACAUUUGAACUUAUGUUACACAUUGGGUUUUCAUACUUAUGCUUCCGCUAUACUUUGAAACUAUGAUUAUGUUUUGAACACCUAUCGUAUUGAAUGAUUGGUUUACAUUUAUUAUAUUUGAU
rnacentral:lncRNA from 1 species